CAGAAAAUAGGAGGGGCAGAUGUGCAGCAAUGCUCAAGGCCCCUGAAAUGGAGGGAAAUUAUUAAGUGAGAUAUGCCCAGAUAAUCCUGGCAAGUGACUUGCAUCUACAUGCUGCAGAAAGCGGCAAAAACAAAAAACGAAAAAACAAACAACAACAACAAAAACCAAGGUCACUGACCAGGGACAAAAUUCCUUCCUGAACCCACAUAUGGUGUUGAUCAGUUAGACCCAGAGCAUGUGAGUAAAAGCCAAGCAGCCAAA